rnacentral:rRNA from 1 species
AACGAACGCUGGCGGCAUGCCUAACACAUGCAAGUCGAACGGGAUCCUAGCUUGCUAGGUGAGAGUGGCGGACGGGUGAGUAACACGUGGGAAUCUGCCUUUUGGUUCGGGAUAACCGCGGGAAACUGCGGCUAAUACCGAAUGCCCUCGAGAGAGGAAAGAUUUAUCGCCAGAAGAGGAGCCCGCGUCCGAUUAGGUAGUUGGUGGGGUAAAGGCCUACCAAGCCGACGAUCGGUAGCUGGUCUGAGAGGAUGAUCAGCCACACUGGGACUGAGAUACGGCCCAGACUCCUACGGGAGGCAGCAGUGGGGAAUAUUGGACAAUGGGGGCAACCCUGAUCCAGCAAUGCCGCGUGAGUGAUGAAGGCCUUAGGGUUGUAAAGCUCUUUUGCCAGGGAAGAUGAUGACUGUACCUGGAGAAUAAGCCCCGGCUAACUUCGUGCCGAGCAGCCACGGUAU